CUCUCGCUCUCUCUCUCGCUCAUGUACCCAUCGUUGUCUGAAGGACUCCAUCAGUAUGAAUCUCUCCCUCGAUCUCUCAAUCUCUCUAUUUCUGUCUCGAUCUCUCUUUCUCUCUUGAACUCUCAAUCUCUCUUUCGUACAAUCUUGCUCUCUCUGUAUCUGUGUACAUAUCUCGCUGCAAUUUGCUUGAUUCAUCGCAGAGAAACCCUAUCUCUACUAGUAGACCGCAUUGAAAAGGUCUCUUGGAGUUCUCAAAUGCAGCAGAGUAAGCUCACCUAUCACGCAUUGUGUACAAAUUAGGUGAUUGCAAAUUCAAUCUCACUAUUAAAUCCAUUUGAUGUUAUCAAACUUUUAGACUCACUGAUAUCUAUAAUCCAUCUGAUGUCUCUGUAAUCCAGCUCUCUUCUCUGCUCUUCGGGACAAUUUACAACUUUUAAGGCAGCGAUAUUACUAUGCCACAUGGAAAGCUGAUGGAACACGAUAUAUGAUGCUAAUUACUUGGGAUGGGUGUUACGUGAUUGAUAGAAAUUUUUGUUUCCAAAAGGUUGAGUUGCGGUUUCCUUGCAAAAGCACAAAUAAGGGUAUAUUUGAGAAGACGCACCACUAUACAUUACUUGAUGGAGAGAUGGUAAUUGACAUUGAGCCAAAGACGCAAAAGCAGGAGAGAAGAUACCUUAUUUAUGAUCUGAUAGCAAUUAACCAAGUGUUUAUUAUGGAGAUAUUAUAAUGAGAACUGCUAUCAAUAUAGGACUGUGAUAGACAACAUAUCAAUGCUGAUUCUGAUGCAGUAGGGAGCUGCUGUGACUGAUGAGUAAACUAUUGAGAUGCCGUUGAGCUACUGCUGUGACUGAUGAGGCUUGGAAUGAGUGAACUAAUGAAGCUUGGACUGAGGGAACUGUGGAAAUGCAGAGUCAGUUACAGAGGCAGUUACAGAUGGAAUCUUAUCAUGAUCAAACCUCGAAACAGUGAGCGUGACUUUUUGUACAAGAGCAGAAAUCCAUACUACAGAUACGACUUGGAGUCAUUCAGGGUGAGGAGAAAGGAUUUUUAUUUGCUGUCUACAGUUACUAAGCUUUUAAAGGAAUUUAUUCCAAGACUUUCACAUACAGCAGAUGGUCUUAUAUUCCAGGUGUCAGAUGCAUCUAGUGGGCAGCAAGCUUCAAAAGAAAAUGAAUAGGUUGAUAACUUGGAAUUUCUGAGGGAAAUGAGGAUCAACCCAAUAAAGGUUGCCAAAGCAUUAGGGGAAGUGUUUGCUGAAAAUAUCUUGAUGAAUAUGGGUGCAAGGUGUUAUGCCAGUUCAUUGAUAGAGUGGAGAAACACCCGAGCAAGAAAAUUGAUGAGAAGAUUGGCCAGUUCUGGAUUGUAUUUUUUUCAUAAAAGAACUUUUUUCAAGUUUUUAGUUGUAAUAACUUUUACAUGUAGCUCAAAUUUUGAGACUCAAAUAGAAUGUUCAAUAAAACUAUAAUGCUAUACUGUCUGAAUUCUUGUCAUUGUUA